AGUGGUGGAUCCUCCCACUGGGUGUGUUUCAGCACAUAAAAAGACAAAGUGUAAGACGAUCACAACUUUGUUUAGGAUCAACUUUCAGCAGCACACAACGUCAGUCUUCCUGACUCACACAACAACAACAACAUGGUCAACGUCAGAGUUGAAUACUGUGGUGCCUGAGGGUACAGGUCCAGGUAUGAAACCCUGGCAAGGUAUCUUCAGCUGAAGAUUCCUGGCGUGCAGGUUUCUGGCAACGUUGGGAGGAGAGGAAGCUUUGAGGUGAUGGCGGACGACUGCUUAAUUCACUCCAAACUCCAGACUGGAUCUUUCCCGCCUGAAGACAAGAUUGCAUCGAAAGUGCAGAAGCUGGCUAAACACGGAAUGUAAACGCUGGCUACUGGAGAACCAGAGCGUGAUGGGAUCCGAGUCCAGGAGGCCGGACGCCGACUUCCUUCUUUGAAUGACUGUGCACGCUGAAAAGCAGAAAAAGGCGUGCACACGAUGUACACGUGUAGAAGGUUUUUAGCUGAUCCGGGGUCAGUGGAAUUGUUCUCAUCAUGACAGUCUGGUAUACUAAAACUCACAAGCAGUGGCAGGAAAAAAAAGACUAAUUUUGGUUCCAAACAUGUAACAAACAAUUGGUUACCAUUUUUUCAUACCUUUUUAGUACGAAACUAAAAAAAAUAGCUAAGUGUGCUAUUUGCACAAUUAAUAUUUAAUAACUAUUGAAACAUUUUCCUGCAACUUCAAUAAACUGCUGCAUAAACUACAGCUUUGCAGAUUUUCUUUGUAGUCUUCCCAGCAGGCACCAGACAUUAAAACAACGUUGAGGCCUUGUUGAAUUAGGCCCUGACGUCGAGCAACUCAAACAUAACGUUGAAACAACAUGCUUUUUGACAACGUUUAAUCAACGUUGGGUUCUGAUGUUGAUUAGACCUUUGAAAUUUGCUCAUUUCCCAACCAACAAUGUGGAUCCAACUUUGGACAUCAACAUUGCCUCAAUUUACCAAUCCAACUAUUUUGCAACAUCGUUCAAAAGUCCGUUUUAAAGGACAUGUAUGUCUAAUCAAGGUUGUAUCAAUGUCUUGUGCCGGUUGGGUUACUACGGUACUAAUGGGGUGGCGUAGCUCGGUUGGUAGAGUGGCCGUGCCAGCAACUCGAGGGUUCCAGGUUCGAUUCCCGCUUCCGCCAUCCUAGUCACUGCUGUUCUGUCCUUGGGCAAGACACUUUACCCACCUGCUCCCUGUGCCACCCACACUGGUUUAAAUGUAACUUAGAUAUUGGGGUUCACUAUGUAAAAGCGCUUUGAGUCACUAGAGAAAAGCGCUACUUAAAUAUAAAUCAAUAAAUAAUUCAAUAAUUGGCUUUUUGAAGUAGUGACAAAAUAAAAAAAAUCUUCACUUCAUUUCAGUAUAGCUGAAAAAGUAAAAGAAGCUAUAAAAAAUUCAGCAAAACGUAAAGAAAUAUUUACACAAAAUAAAUCAAAAGUUUUAAAGCACAGAUUUGCUGCAGUUAAAUGCUAACAACAAUGGUGGUGAUGGUAAAAACUUCAAUACAAAGUAACAGGUAUGUUCACCUUUUUAUUACAAAACAGUGACAAAUAAAUAGAACAAAAUCUGUGUUGGGGGGAGGUGUUGCCAUAGCAACCAUUUGUUCAACAAUCCGACCACCGAUUGGUCCCUGGUUCAAACAUUGGGGAAAAAAGAAAUAAAGAAGGUACAUUUCACAACAAAUAGCACCGUGGUGGGGUUGUCAGGCCACCGCCAGCUGUGCUGACCGGCCGAUAAAAACACACAAAUACAAAACACACACACGCACGACAAAGCAUUUAAGUCAACUCCAAGAAAAUAAGAAAAAAAAAGUGUUCCAGCGCUUAGUUUUCUUUGUUAUAAAUAUAAUAUAUUAAUUUGGACAAAUGUAAUCCAUGACCUUUGUGCUAAACACUUAUUUGAAACCCGAGUAAAAUGUAUGUAAAUACUGUGUGUAUUAUUACAAUAUUUACUGUAUUUUCAGGACUGUAAGCCGCUACUUUUUUCCAACGCUUUGCACCCUGCGGCUUAUAAAACGAUGUGGCUAAUUUAUAGAUUUGUCUUUGCUAACGGCCAUGAUGUUUUGUUUUCAACAAAUAGUUCUCAACACUAACAGAGACACUGAAAAGGUGUGUUACUCUUUGUGCUAUGGCGCCAUCUUUUGGACGAGUUGGCUCACUGCGGGUGCUGCGGGUUGAAAAUGUACUUCCUGUUUCGUGCCUUGAACCAGAACUAUAACUGUCCAUAGCAUAUCUGCUCGAAAAGGAUUCUUCAUUCAUCACUCCAGGCAACGGUUGUAAGUUUUACAAUAUAACUAAAACAAUUCAUACUUACUAGGUUGUCCCAUGUGUGAUGUCUGUAGCAGUGUUUUCAUGCAUAUUUGUGUGUGCGAUCGUAAUGUAGUCAAACUAGUGUGUUCAGCAUGAGCCAAUAUGCUAACACGUUUACAAGUGUCUGUGUUAGUAUUAUUAACUUUUGAUAUUGUUUCAGUUUCAUAAAUUCCCUAAACCUCACAGUGCAGUUGUUGAGUGUGUUUAACUGGUUGGAGAGUGAGCUUUCGCAGCUAGUGGGUCCAUGACCAUGACUUCUGUUUUGUUUGAUCAGCCGUUUAACUGUUGUGUGACAGGCACCAGUUGAAAACAAUUAAGGUAUGUAAAUAAACAUUUACAAAAUAUUCCGUACCAGGAUAUAUCUGCGGCUUGUAGGCUGGAACAACUAAUAUAUGUAAAAAUGUUUAUUUCUUUUAAAAUUUGGUGGGUGCGGCUUAAAUACCAGUGCGCUCUAUUGCACGGAAAAUACGCUAAGAGAGUAAAACCCAAGAAAGAUGUAUGUAAUUGACAUACUAUUCAUCUUAUUUGCAGGCUAAAUGUAGUGUCUUUUUUAAUCCAGCAGACGGCCAUUAUGAACCAUCAACACACUCAUAAGUGCCGUGUCAAUACAAUCAGUGAGUGUGCCAUACGCUCACUGAGACGUCAUUUGCCCAUCACUACCUAAUGUCUGAUGUUAUUUUUCAUGAUCAUCAAUAUUCAAGAACUCUGAAGUACUAGAGACGUCUAUAGUACUGAUUAAAGGGAGUUUAAGUUUGGUGAAACAAAGGUGGAAGAGGAAGCUGCAGGGAGUGGUGGAUCCUCCCACUGGGUGUGUUUCAGCACAUAAAAAGGCAAAAUGUAAGACGAUCACAACUUUGUUUAGGAUCAACUUUCAGCAGCACACAACGUCAGUCUUCCUGACUCACACAACAACAACAACAACAACAACAACAUGGUCAACAUCAGAGUUGAAUACUGUGGUGCCUGAGGGUACGGGUCCAAGUAUGAAGCCUUGGCAAAGGAACUUCAGCAGAAGAUUCCUGGCGUGCAGGUUUCUGGCAAAGUUGGGAGGAGAGGCAGCUUUGAAGUGAUGGUGGACAACAUGCUGGUUUACUCCAAACUCGCCACUGGAGAGUUCCCCACUGCCAGCGAGAUUGUAGUCCAAAUGCGGACGUUGGCUGGAUGCAGAAUGUAAACGCUGGCUACUGGAGAACCAGAGCGUGAUGGGAGCGAGUCCAGGAGGCCGGAUGCCGACUUCCUUCUUUGAAUGACUGUGCACGCUGAAAAGCACAAAAGGCGUGCACACGAUGUACACGUUUAGAAGGUUUUUAGCUGAUCCGGCAUCAGUGGAAGUGUUCUCAUCGUGACAGUCUGGUGUACUAAAACUAACAAGCGGUGGCGGGAAAAAAUACUAACUUUAGUUCCAAACAUGUAGCAAACAAUUGGUUACCAUUUUUAUCCCUUUUUUAAUCUAAAAAUGUGUUAUUUGCACAAUCAAUAUUUAAUAAUCCGCUUGUUGAGACAUCUUCAUGCAACAGGAUUUCUGCAGCAAAUUUAAUUGAAUGCAUUUUAAUGCAUGGUAAAGUAAAUGUAACGGCCAUAUCCUACUGCACAUUGUUAUUAUAUAUUAUCAAAAGCUUACAAUUGUCUGUUUGAACAAAAUUGUAACCAUUUCACAAAGAUGAUGAAUUGUUUAUAUUAACUAGCCAAAUUAGAUAGAUAGAUGGAUAGUACUUUAUUGAUUCCUUCAGGAAACUUCCCUCAGGAAAAUUGAAAUUCCAGCAGCAGUGUACAGAAUUGAGAUCUAAUUUGAAAAGUAAAUAAUGGGGGUAUGAAUGAAAAUAAAAUAGAAAACAUUACAAGAAUAAAAAUAAAAAGCGACAAUAAUAAUACAAAUAUAACAGUAAAAAUAGGAAUAUAACAAGAGAAACUAGGCAGUAGUGACCAAGUUAUGAAAAUGUAUUGCACUGUUAAUUGCACUGUUUUUUGUUGCCACAAUUAAAUUAAGCGGUAAUGUAAUCAUAAUACAUAAUACCAAUGCAAGUAAACCUUUCAAACAUAAUCAGCAUAUUUUUUAACUACUGCAGUAUUUUUACUAUUCUAAUUGUAAGGUAAAUAACGUCAUUAUCCUGAAUACAGUAGAUAAACAAUAUGUACGAACAAAUAAAAAUGGACUCCCAAUCUCUGUUAACAAAAAGUACAGUUUUUUUCUUCCCUCAUUUGGAAAAACUGCAUCAGGUGCUUUGUUUUGUCUUUUUUGUUGCCAUCCCGGUGUCCUGAAAAAAAAAGUGCUGCUUCAUAAAAAGAAAUGCAAGCAGUUACAUAAUGAGUAAUGGACGAAUUUGGUUGAAAUUUUAAGAACAUGUCCGAAAUAGGUCAUGGAAAAAAUGCUUAUGAAUUUUUUGAUUCAUAGAUGAGCUUGUUAAAAAUACUUUUGACAUUCAUUCUGUCAUCAUACAGCAUAUGAUGCAUUUUAGUUUACCAAGGUUCAUACCCUUUUUGUUUUGGUUUGUUUCCUGGUGUGUAAAAAAAAAAAAUGCUAAAAACACCCACAAUAUACCAAGGAGUUAUUUUUACCUUCAUGCGUGCGCAUGCCCAGUAGCGUUGGGUAGCACAUUUUCUCUAACCUGACUCUCGCCAGAUCCUUGUAGUUCGCUGAGCUCCACACAAGGAUCUGGGACUUCUCAACAGGAGAUGUAUUUCAGAAGGCGGGGCUUUGUAAAAAAAAAAAAAUCAUUGUAUGUGAUUGGAUAAACCACUUGUCUGUUAUCUUGAAUGACGUGCUACUUCAACCACUCACAUCGAAAUCAACCCGUGACGCUGAUUUAAAAAAAAAAAGAAGUAUUUAUUGAUUUAAACUUUUAUUAGUAGAUUGCACAGUACGGUACAUAUUCCUUACAAUUUACCACUAAAUGGUAACACCCGAGUAAGUUUUUCAGCUUGUUUAAGUCGGGGUCCACGUUAAUCAAUUCAAGGUAGCUCAUGGAGCUCAGCGAACUACAGGGAUCUGGCAAAAGUCAGGUUACAAAGUGUCAGCACACCGGCAGUGGUUGGUCCGUGCUGAUGGCUCCUGUUGCUUUCUGUUUGAAGAUGAAACAUUUGGCUGUUUAAACUUUUUUACUCCCAACUUUCGUGAAUUAGCUGAGCUUCUCACUUGUGAGUCUCGACUAGUUAGCUAGCGGUCCCAUCCAUCCAUCCAUUUUCUACCGCUUAUUCCCUUUGAGGUCGCUGGAGCCUAUCUCAGCUAAAAUCGGGCGGAAGGCGGGGUACACCCUGGACAAGUCACCACCUCAUCGCAGGGCCAACACAGAAAGACACUUAAGACAGACAACAUUCACUCACAUUCACACACUAGGGCCAAUUUAGUGUCCCGCCUGCUCAUAUCGAAAAGAGAUGGUGAAUGACUGACAGGAAGCUCCACUCUGCUCAUUUACCGCUGCUGCCAAAUAAUCACGGCAGGUGGUGAAUGCGAUGCAGAGUGAGACUUCUUGUCUCCAGUUUGAAAGCCACAGAAAAGAAACAUUUAUCCAUGACGGCAGUUACCAAAUUCAUUUAAUUGAAUGACUAUCGGCCCAGGCCUAAUUGUGUGACAUUUUAAACAGUUACAACAAUGUCAUGUUUUUGCCAUUCAAGCCCUUAAUUUGUGUGCAAAAUCCAUUUAAAGCAUUUUAAUGACCCGCGGGAACCCUUAAACUACUUUGGCUUUGCAGUUGUAUUGCAGUACUAAUUGGCUUUUUGAAGCAGUGUAUUUACCGUAUUUUUCAGACUAUAAGUCGCAGUUUUUUCAUAGUUUGGCCGGGGGUGCGACUUAUACUCGAGCGACUUGUGUGAAAUUGUUAACACAUUACCGUAAAAUAUCAAAUAAUAUUUAGCUCAUUCACGCAAGAGACUAGACGUAUAAGAUUUCAUGGGUUUUAGCGAUUAGGAGUGACAGAUUGUUUGGUAAACGUAUAGCAUGUUCUAUAUGUUAGUCAUUUGAAUGACUCUUACCAUAAUGUUACGUUAAAAUACCAGGCACGUUCUCAGUUGGUUAUUUAUGCCUCAUAUAACGUACACUUAUUCAGCCUGUUGUUCACUAUUCUUUAUUUUAAAUUGCCUUUCAAAUGUCUAUUCUUGGUGUUGGGUUUUAUCAAAUACAUUUCCCCAAAAAAUGCGACUUAUAUUCCAGUGCGACUUAUGUUUUUUUUCCUUCUUUAUUAUGCAUUUUUGGCCGGAGCGACUUAUAGUUCGAAAAAUAUGGUACAUCAUUUCAGUAUUGCUGAAAAUACAAAAUACAAAUUAAACAGAUAUUAGAAAUAUUUACACAAAAUUAAUCAAAAGUUUUAAACCACAGAUUUGCUGCAGUUAAAUGCUAACAACAAUGGUGGUGAUGGUAAAAACUUCAAUACAAAGUAACAGGUAUGUUCACCUUUUUAUUACAAAACAGUGACAAAUAAAUAGAACAAAAAUGUAAAAAUAUAACAAGAUCUGUGUUGGGGGGGAGGUGUUGCCACAGCAACCAUUUGUUCAACAAUCCAACAACUGAUUGGUCCCUGGUUUAACAUUGGAAAAAAAGAAAUAAAGAAGGUACAUUUCACAACAAAUAGCACCGUGGUGUGGUUGUCAGGCCACCGCCAGCUCUGCUGACUGGCCGAUAAAAACACACAAAUACAAAACACACACACGCAUGACAAAGGAAAACAAGAAAAAAGGGGGCCCAGCGCUUAGUUUCCUUUGUUAUAAAUAUAAUAUAUUAAUUUAUACAUUGUAGAACACAACUGGAGUUCAAGACGUGAAGCUACGGCUAAAAAAAAGGCAGCUCAAGUUUAAAAGCAAACAAAAAGCUGGAGGAGGCUUCACUACUCAAAGUGUUGACACGCGGCGUCGCUCCAACACGUGUGAAGGCAUUGGGAUCGCUUGUACAAUCGAAUGGAGCAAGAGACUAGCGUGUGUGUGUGUGUGUGUGUGUGUGUGUAUGUGUGUGUGUGUGCGCCUGGAAACAUUCGGCCCAUUCAAGAAGGAACAGCUCGAUUCUGCAGCAUGUUGUUGAUAAAGAAAAGUGUGUAGCUAGCGAACUAACAGGAAGGUGAGGCCCGCCAGGCCCACACCAGCUGCAGCAAACAACGCCGUCUUCAUGGACAAAUCCUGACUGGCAUCUCGGCUGCUGCAGAACUUGCAGAAACCCUCCUGCAACACCAAGCCCAAUUAGUCAGCAUGAAGUCCAUAAACAAUACAUUUAUGAAGUUCCACAUGAUUAGCAUCACAUUAACACAAGUAGUGAAAAGGCCACGAGCUGAUUGCAGUACUGACAGUCACCACCAGGGGGCGCAUCUUAUUAGUUUGUGGACAACUUCUCAAUGCUGCAGUGUGUGAUUUAAAGUAACACACACACACACACGCACACACACGCACGCACACACGGUGUGGUGAAAUUGCCCUCUGCAAUUGACCCAUCCCCUUGUUCCACUUUACUAUCCUGGAAAAUAAUUUUUUGAACGUUUGCUCAUCCAUAUUGAUGAUUACAUAUGACGUGGCGAUAGUGAGUACACAGCCAAUAUAUGGCAGACAAAAUGUCACAAUACUACAAGUGGGAAAAGAGCAUUUAUGUCUGACUGUGUACUACCCCCACUGAAAUAAAGACGUUUCAAUUGCAUAAAUUAUUAUUAACCUUCCAAUAAAGAAACAAUCAUUCAAUUAUGAAAAUAUUUACCACUGGUAUUAAAUAUAAAUAACAUAUAAAAAACAAAUAUAAUGUACAUGCCAAAAUAGUGAAUGGUGUAACAGACAGUCAAUGUGUGGGGGUUACUUUCUUUUUCUGUGCACUAAAUACAUAUUCAAAAUGGCGAUUGGGAACAUUUUAGGCUGAAAAUGACACAUUUGGCCAUUUUCACACUAAAGUUUUUGCCUGACGAAAAUUGGGCACUUUU